rnacentral:lncRNA from 1 species
AGAAAGAAACAAAAAUGAAAUUGGCAGAAGCUGUUUCAUACAUAGUCAUAGAAUCAUAGUCUAUGUUUCAUACAUAGUCACUCCGCCCUUCCCCCUCCACACAGAGGCCCAUUGAGAGCAACAUGGGAACAAUAAGCAGGAAUAUUCUUUUAAAAACAGAACUCAGAUUCUUAGUCCCUGAAUUAUAUCCUCUGGGAAGAGUGUAACCAAAGACUUCUCUAGGGACUCUGUCUAGCCAAAGGCAAAGUCUCAUAGUAUUAAUAUUUGAAUAAACCAAUGAAGCAACUGGUGUCACCUUGACUGACCCUCACAGUUGACGGUCUAUGUUGUCUAUGAGUUUUAAGGCAUUCUGCGUUGUGUUCUUAAAAAUUGAAAUGACUUGGGGCUGGAGAGCUGUCUCAUCACUUAUUGAUCUUAUAGAGAACCCAAAUCUGGAUCCGAGCAUCUAUCCUAAGGCUCACAAAUACCCCUAACUGCAGUUCCAUAGUAUCUGCUGCCCUUGGCGGGAUUUCACAGGCUCUUCCCUGCAUCUGGUACAUAUAUACACCUGCAGACUCACUACACACCAGACUGAAAAAGUAAAGGCGAUCAGAGGC